rnacentral:lncRNA from 1 species
GGGCGGGGCAACCUGGGGAGGUGACGGGACAAAGAGGGACUGAGGGGGCGGUGGCCGCCCUGCGGGAGGUGGAGAAAGGAGUACGUAUUCGCUCAUUGGCUAGAGUGAGUGUGCGUACUAAGCGAUUGAUGUGAGUAAAGCCCGCCUGGGCGUGUCUGCCGCGGAGCAUAAGCUCACGUGGAUUACCUGUAGGGUCUCCAUCAGGAAGCCCUAGGUGCCGGCAAGAAGGGUAGUGGAAAGACGUGACCUGCCCUCAAGCAGCUCAGCCUCACGGGGAAAAGAAAUGUGUAAAGAGCUGAACUUAGGGUCAUGGAUGUUGUAUGGACAAGGAGUUUGAAAAACUUGGCUGGAGGGGAGGACUUUGCAUUUGCACACACUGGAAGGAUGCCUUUAUUGUAUCCAUUUCUGUAUUCGUACCAGCACCUCGCAAAAUAAUUUUCUGUAUGUUAUAGAAAUUCAAAGAAGACAAACUCUAGCCAAGAGCAGUGUGAAGAAAAGAAGACGCUAUAUUAAUCACAGUCCAGGGAUGCCUUCUGGCUUCCUGGCAGCAAUUCCGGCCUGAGAUUCCUUCUCUGUGCAUACUUCCUGUCAACACUGUGUGAUGUCAAGCUGUAGCCAUCACAAAAGUACUGUGAACACCUGUAAAUCCCAACUAUCAAAAAUCACACCCAGGAAUCCAAAUUAGCAUUAUUAUGUCAAAAGAAAAACCUGAUUUCCU